rnacentral:tRNA from 1 species
GUUCUUGUAGUUGAAUGACAACGAUGGUUUUUCAUAUCA